CACGUAGGGCGCAAGCGUUGUCCGGAAUUAUUGGGCGUAAAGAGCUCGUAGGCGGCUUGUUGCGUCGUCCGUGAAAACCCGCAGCUCAACUGCGGGCUUGCGGACGAUACGGGCAGGCUGGAGUUCGGUAGGGGAGACUGGAAUUCCUGGUGUAGCGGUGAAAUGCGCAGAUAUCAGGAGGAACACCGGUGGCGAAGGCGGGUCUCUGGGCCGAUACUGACGCUGAGGAGCGAAAGCGUGGGGAGCGAACAGG
rnacentral:rRNA from 1 species